AGAAGAUCCGCAGGAAGAUCAAGAACAAGAUCUCCGCACAAGAGAGCCGCAGGAAAAAGAAAGAGUACAUGGAUGUUUUAGAGAAGAAGGUGGAGACAUGCUCUAAUUGAGAACAGUGAGUUGCGCAGGAAGUUGAA